UACGUAGGGGGCAAGCGUUGUCCGGAAUCAUUGGGCGUAAAGCGCGUGUAGGCGGCUCGAUAAGUCUGCUGUGAAAGUCCAGGGCUCAACCCUGGGAUGCCGGUGGAUACUGUCGAGCUCGAGUCCGGAAGAGGCGAGUGGAAUUCCCAGUGUAGCGGUGAAAUGCGUAGAUAUUGGGAGGAACACCAGUGGCGAAGGCGGCUCACUGGACCGGUUCUGACGCUGAGGCGCGAAAGCCAGGGGAGCAAACGGG
rnacentral:rRNA from 1 species